rnacentral:rRNA from 1 species
ACUCCUACGGGAGGCAGCAGUGGGAAUAUUGCACAAUGGGCGCAAGCCUGAUGCAGCCAUGCCGCGUGUGUGAAGAAGGCCUUCGGGUUGUAAAGCACUUUCAGCAGUGAGGAAAGGUGGGUAUGUUAAUAGCAUACNCAUUUUGACGUUAGCUGCAGAAGAAGCACCGGCUAACUCCGUGCCAGCAGCCGCGGGUAAUACGGAGGGUGCGAGCGUUAAUCGGAAUUACUGGGCGUAAAGCGCGUGUAGGUGGCUUGUUAAG